rnacentral:rRNA from 1 species
UGGGGAAUAUUGGACAAUGGGCGAAAGCCUGAUCCAGCUAUGCCGCGUGGAUGAAGAAGGCCUUAGGGUUGUAAAGUCCUUUCGUUGGUGAAGAUAAUGACGGUAACCAAAGAAGAAGCCCCGGCUAAUUUCGUGCCAGCAGCCGCGGUAAUACGAAAGGGGCUAGCGUUGUUCGGAAUUACUGGGCGUAAAGCGCACGUAGGCGGCCGUGUAAGAUGGGGGUGAAAUCCCUGGGCUCAACCCAGGAACUGCCUUCAUGACUGCAUAGCUCGAGGAUGUGAGAGGUUGGCGGAAUUCCGAGUGUAGAGGUGAAAUUCGUAGAUAUUCGGAAGAACACCAGUGGCGAAGGCGGCCAACUGGCACAUUUCUGACGCUGAGGUGCGAAAGCGUGGGGAGCAAACAGGAUUAGAUACCCAAGUAGUCCCUGAGCGGGCUGGCAAGGCGCAU